UCGAAUUGAAGGAGACUGCACACGUA
rnacentral:piRNA from 1 species